GACGAACGCUGGCGGCGUGCUUAACACAUGCAAGUCGAACGGAAAGGCCCUGCUUUUGUGGGGUGCUCGAGAGGCGAACGGGUGAGUAACACGUGAGUAACCUGCCCUUGACUUUGGGAUAACUUCAGGAAACUGGGGCUAAUACCGGAUAGGAGCUCCUGCUGCAUGGUGGGGGUUGGAAAGUUUCGGCGGUUGGGGAUGGACUCGCGGCUUAUCAGCUUGUUGGUGGGGUAGUGGCUUACCAAGGCUUUGACGGGUAGCCGGCCUGAGAGGGUGACCGGCCACAUUGGGACUGAGAUACGGCCCAGACUCCUACGGGAGGCAGCAGGGGGGAAUAUUGCACAAUGGGCGGAAGCCUGAUGCAGCAACGCCGCGUGCGGGAUGACGGCCUUCGGGUUGUAAACCGCUUUCGCCUGUGACGAAGCGUGAGUGACGGUAAUGGGUAAAGAAGCACCGGCUAACUACGUG
rnacentral:rRNA from 1 species